UACAGAGGGUGCAAGCGUUGUUCAGAAUUAUUGGGCGUAAAGGGCGCGUAGGCGGUGCGGUAAGUCCGCAGUGAAAUCUCUGGGCUCAACUCAGAGUCUGCUGUGGAAACUGCCGUGCUGGAGUGUGGGAGAGGUGCGUGGAAUUCCUGGUGUAGCGGUGAAAUGCGUAGAUAUCAGGAGGAACACCUGUGGCGAAAGCGGCGCACUGGACCACAACUGACGCUGAGGCGCGAAAGCUAGGGGAGCAAACAGG
rnacentral:rRNA from 1 species